rnacentral:rRNA from 1 species
CCAGCAGCCGCGGUAAUUCCAGCUCCAAUAGCGUAUAUUUAAGUUGUUGCAGUUAAAAAGCUCGUAGUUGGAUUUCGGGUGGGUUCCAGCGGUCGGCCUAUGGUCAGUACUGCUGUGGCCCUCCUUUCUGUUCGUAAGGCUCUCCUGGGCUUCACUGUCCGGGAAGUCGUGCGAGCAUUUUUACCUUGAGUAAAUUAGCGUGUUCAAAGCAAGCCUACGCUCUGAAUACUUUAGCAUGGAAUAUCGCGAUAGGACUCUGGCCUAUCUCGUUGGUCUGUAGGACCGGAGUAAUGAUUAAGAGGGACAGUCGGGGGCAUUCGUAUUUCAUUGUCAGAGGUGAAAUUCUUGGAUUUAUGAAAGACGAACUACUGCGAAAGCAUUUGCCAAGGAUGUUUUCA